GGGUGAUAUGAUGGCAUACCAUCUUUCGGGACUGACUCUUGGUGUUGAGAGCUCUUUAACACUGAUCACUC